CGCGCGCCCCCCCUCUAUUGGCUACAGCCGGGGACCCCUUCAUGCAGCUGACUCCCCAUUGGCUGAAACCGGGGACCGCGAGAUCCUCCGUGACAGAGUCUUUCUGUGUGGCCAAAUGUUGAGAUUAAAGGAGUACACCAUCCAGUGCCUAAAUGUGUUUUGCUGUGCCUAAGAUCCUGCAGUGGAAAUGAGACAAGGUGACCCACAACCACCAGUCAACGUAAGUACCUCGAAUGGAAGUCUGGGGAUUAAAGAACAAGGAUGAGGGAAGAAUGGAGCCAACACAAAAUUCUGAUCAAGGCUCAACUUUAUUGCAAAGCAGCAGGCUUAUAAAGGCAAAAAACAUAAGCCCAACCCCUAGAUGACAUAAAUCACCUCUUGCCGGCAGCCAAAAGCAUGGGUUUUUAUUUCUCAGCACAGGUCUCUCUCAUCAGGCCAAAAGCAGAACUCCCAUCUCGGGUGGGGAAAUCCCACCAAGUGCUGUGAUAGCAAAAUAGCUGAUGGGGCAACCCCUGCUACACAGGCCAGGACAGAACCUCCACAGUGGAUGAUCCGUGUCCUCCCAUCCAUGGAAGAGGCAGGCACAUUCCAGGGAUGGAGGGGGUGACAGACACACUGCUGCUGCAGCUGUAAGGGGUGACAGACACUGCUGCAGCUGUGAGGGGUGACAGACACUGCUGCAGCUGUGACGGGUGACAGACACUGCUGCAGCUGUGACGGGUGACAGACACUGCUGCAGCCAUGAAACUCUCUUUUACAAUUUGUUCCCUUAUUUUUUAAAAAUAAUUUCAUUUAUUUUCUCUUCUGAGUGUUUGCUUGCUUAUACUGUCUGUGUAUCAUGUGCAUACAGUGCCUGAGGCGGCCGAAGACAGGAUCCUAUCCCUGAAAACUGGAGUUACAGAUGUUGUGAGCUGGGUGUGGUGCUGGAACUUGAACCAGGAGAGCAGCCAGGGCUCAUAAGUGCUGAACCAUCUCUUCUUCAGUUUCCAGCCAUAGGGCUUUUGUCCCUUGAGGGAGUUAUCACACUGUGCAGUCACAACUGCAAACCAGACAGAGUCCACCUUACAUGCUUUAGCAAAAACCUGAAUUUUCCUCAAUUGUAAAAAAGGCUAGUGUAAGGGACUAAUACUCCCACCCGUAGGCAGCAUGUACCCAUCUUCUAAUUUUAGGCUCUCCAAACACUAGAGCAGAGAAAGACUAGGCAUUAUUUUCUUAGUCUUCCAGGGGAGGGCAUGUGUGGUAUCAAAGAAGUCAUGGGUUUGUGGAGAUGCAGUUCAGUGUGAUGGCUAUUCUUGGUUGUCAACCUGACUACAUCUGGAAUUAACUAAAACAUAAGCAGACAUGUACAAUGAUGACCCACCUCAAAUCUUAUGAAGGACACAGAAGAAGGACUUGCUCUCUCUUUGCCUGCUUGUUCUCACUCUCACUGGCAAGUCCAUUCCUUCCCUGGCAUCAGAGACUACUUCUUCAUGAUUCUGGCAUAUACUGAAGACCAGCUGGGACAGCCAGACUCACAGACUGAACAACUAUUGGAUUCUUGGAUCUUCUGUUGGUCGAUCGCCAUUUUUGGGCUAGCUGAACUGCAGCUGUAAGCCACUCUACUAAAGCCCAUUCAUUCUGUUAAGUGCAGUCUCUCUAGAGAACCCUGACUACUACAGACUUUGGUACCACAAACGGUACUGCAGUGGCAGACCUCGGUGUGGAGAGGAUUGUGGAAGGACCUUAGAACUUUGGGCUAGAAAAACCAUUGAGUAUUCAAAAACCUAGUGAGCUUUUCUGUGGGAGCUUGGAAGAUAAGAAUGUUGAGGGCAAAGCUGUGCAUGGUGGUGCACGUCUUUAAUCCCAUAUUCGGCAGGCAGAAGCAAUGUGGAAGAAGAUGGAAGCCUGCCUUGAAGUUCUCGAGGGAAGUUUGAUAGUCCCUUAAAGACUCCGUCAGGAGGGUCUUUUGCUAUUUUGAAUUGAGAAUCUGUGGUUCUGGUCAGCUGAGGCUGAAGAAUCAGCUGUGGUUAACCAGAGACAAGCAGCGCUGGAGCAAAACCUCUGCUUUCCCAGGACAAUUGAUGCUGGUCAGCUGGAGCUGAGAAAAUAGCAGUGAUUAAGAAGGGACCAUGGUACACACCUUUAAUUCCAGCAUUUGGGAAGCAGAGGCAGGGAGCUCUGUGUUUGAGGCUAGCCUGGUCUACAGAGUGAGUUCCAGGACAGCCAUGGCUACACAGCACAGAGGGACCCUUUCUUAAAAAAAAAAGACAAAGAA